AAGAAAAGGAAAAGAAGCUGCGGAGGAAGGAGAGAUUAAGAGAAAAAGAAAAGGAUAGAGAGAAGAAAAGUUGCGACUCAAACCAAAGUAAUUUUGCCCCUGAUGAUGUUUCAAAGGAAGAAUUAUCACCUAACGUUGAUGAGGAAUCUAAUCUUAUGGGCUAUACAGACUCGGUAAGUGAAGCUGGUGAAGUUAAUUUAUCCAGCCCUUUAUCGCCGAAUGAUGAAGAUGAUCUACUUUUGGAUGGAUAUAAUCACCCAAGUGUGCAAAUCAACUCUGAUGAUUAUUUUGAGGAAUUCAGUAUGAACGAGGGGAAUGGCUCAUUUCCAGCUGACCAUAUGAGACAUUCUGGGAGGUUGAAAUUUCGAAAAGAAUUUGAACCAGAUUCAAGCCUGAAAUGGUUUGAUGGACGUCGGUGUGCUGUUUCAGGCAGUGGAGGUGCGGCAAGUAAGUAUGAGCCAAGACAUCACUGUGAUAACUUUGAAGCUUCAAGGAGUACCAACAGGUUAAAUAAGCCAUUAAGAAGUAAUGCUGCAAAGUCCAGCAUGAAAGAUGGUGCCUCUAAGUUUGUUGAGAAGUUGAAUUGUUCCAAUAUCAGGAAGUAUGACCGAUAUGAAUCUUCAGAUUGCAGCUGUAACCAACACAGUGACG
rnacentral:misc_RNA from 1 species